rnacentral:tRNA from 1 species
AGGAUAGUAGUUAAAUAUAACAUUUGAUUUGCAUUCAAAAAGUGCUGAACCCUCUCCAGCCUAUCUUA